rnacentral:rRNA from 1 species
GACGAACGCUGGCGGCGUGCUUCAUACAUGCAAGUCGAACGAGAAGCUGACUUCGGUCAGUGGAAAGUGGCGGACGGGUGAGUAAUAUGUAGGAAAUCUGCCUUUAGGAGGGGGACAACAGAGGGAAACUUCUGCUAAUACCCCAUAUGAGCGUAGCUGAAAUGCUAUUCUUGAAAACUCCGGUGCCUAAAGAUGAGCCUGCAUCUGAUUAGCUAGUUGGUAGUGUAAUGGACUACCAAGGCGACGAUCAGUAGCUGGUUUGAGAGGAUGAUCAGCCACAAUGGGACUGAGACACGGCCCAUACGCCUACGGGAGGCAGCAGUAGGGAAUUUUGAGCAAUGGGCGAAAGCCUGACGCAGCAACGCCGCGUGAACGAUUAAGCCCUUCGGGGUGUAAAGUUCUGUCAGUGGGGACGAAACUUGACGGUACCCACAGAGGAAGCACCGGCUAACUCCGUG